rnacentral:rRNA from 1 species
UACGGGGGGGAGACAGCGUUGUUCGGAUUUACUGGGCGUAAAGGGCGCGUAGGCGGUCAGCACAAGUCAGUUGUGAAAUCUCCGGGCUUAACUCGGAACGGUCAGCUGAUACUGCUUUGCUAGAGUGCAGAAGGGCAAUCGGAAUUCUUGGUGUAGCGGUGAAAUGCGUAGAUAUCAAGAGGAACACCUGAGGUGAAGACGGGUUGCUGGGCUGACACUGACGCUGAGGCGCGAAAGCUAGGGUAGCAAACGGG